rnacentral:rRNA from 1 species
CCUACGGGAGGCAGCAGUAGGGAAUCUUCCACAAUGGACGAAAGUCUGAUGGAGCAACGCCGCGUGAGUGAAGAAGGGUUUCGGCUCGUAAAGCCCUGUUGGUAGUGAAGAAAGAUAGAGGUAGUAACUGGCCUUUAUUUGACGGUAAUUACUUAGAAAGUCACGGCUAACUACGUGCCAGCAGCCGCGGUAAUACGUAGGUGGCAAGCGUUGUCCGGAUUUAUUGGGGGUAAAGCGAGUGCAGGCGGUUCAAUAAGUCUGAUGUGAAAGCCGUCGGCUCAACCGGAGAAUUGCAUCAGAAACUGUUGAACUUGAGUGCGGAAGAGGAGAGUGGAACUCCAUGUGUAGCGGUGGAAUGCGUAGAUAUAUGGAAGAACACCAGUGGCGAAGGCGGCUCUCUGGUCUGCAACUGACGCUGAGGCUCGAAAGCAUGGGUAGCGAACAGGAUUAGAUACCCCUGUAGUC